ensembl:lncRNA
AAGCACCGCAGCUGCUGCUCCGCAAAGACGAUGGAGGAGCCGAUGCGAGAAACGAGACUGACGGCGAACGCUGCUGACUGCUGAAUGUUUAGAGACACUUGAAGGUCCUGGAGGAGACGAGAACGGGAGCAAGGAGCAAACAUUUGCUUCAGGAACAGUCGGGCAGCGGAAGUUACAGCUCAGGUGCUUGUCGGCCAUCUUGGACGCGUCAUCAGUGACGCCCGUCAACCUGAGCUAAAUAGUGACGUCAUUACAGCGCCAUGGCCCAUCUCGGAAGUAUCUUUAUGUGUAGUGUAACCAUAUCACUUCCACCUGGUCAAUGGAUAUUUAAUAGUUUGAUGGAAGAUUUAUUCAAUCCUCCAUCACAUUAUUAAAGAGC